GCGCCCUUAGCUCAGCUGGACAGAGCACCGGACUUCUAAUCCGACGGUCGCAGGUUCGAAUCCUGCAGGGCGCG
rnacentral:tRNA from 3 species